rnacentral:rRNA from 1 species
CGAAAGCCUGACGGAGCAAGACCGCGUGAGGGAGGAAGGCUCUUGGGUUGUAAACCUCUUUUCUCUGGGAAGAAGACCUGACGGUACCAGAGGAAUCAGCAUCGGCUAACUCCGUGCCAGCAGCCGCGGUAAGACGGAGGAUGCAAGCGUUAUCCGGAAUUAUUGGGCGUAAAGCGUCCGCAGGCGGCCAAUUAAGUCUGCUGUCAAAGCCUAGGGCUCAACCCUAGAUCGGCAGUGGAAACUGGUUGGCUAGAGUACGGUAGGGGUAGAGGGAAUUCCCAGUGUAGCGGUGAAAUGCGUAGAGAUUGGAAAGAACACCGAUGGCGAAGGCACUUUACUGGGCUAUUACUGACACUGAGAGACGAAAGCUAGGGUAGCA